UGGGGAAUUUUGGACAAUGGGCGAAAGCCUGAUCCAGCAAUGCCGCGUGUGUGAAGAAGGCCUUCGGGUUGUAAAGCACUUUUGUCCGGAAAGAAAUCCUUGGCUCUAAUACAGUCGGGGGAUGACGGUACCGGAAGAAUAAGCACCGGCUAACUACGUGCCAGCAGCCGCGGUAAUACGUAGGGUGCAAGCGUUAAUCGGAAUUACUGGGCGUAAAGCGUGCGCAGGCGGUUUGCUAAGACCGAUGUGAAAUCCCCGGGCUCAACCUGGGAACUGCAUUGGUGACUGGCAGGCUAGAGUAUGGCAGAGGGGGGUAGAAUUCCACGUGUAGCAGUGAAAUGCGUAGAGAUGUGGAGGAAUACCGAUGGCGAAGGCAGCCCCCUGGGCCAAUACUGACGCUCAUGCACGAAAGCGUGGGGAGCAAAACAGGAUUAGAUACCCUGGUAGUCCACGCCCUAAACGAUGUCAACUAGUUGUUGGGGAUUCAUUUCCUAGUAACGUAGCUAACGCGUGAAGUUGACCGCCUGGGGAGUACGGUCGCAAGAUUAAAACUUAAAUGAAUUGACGGGGUCAUAGCUGUUUCCU
rnacentral:rRNA from 1 species